GAAGGAAAAAAGCAUUCAGGAAAAUGGUGAGAAGUCUUAAGUGCUAAGGGGAAGAAGGUAAGAAGAUAAACAGUGGAAGAGAACAAGAUCUUCAGGAGGGGAAAGCAUCUAGAAAGAAGAGUGGAAGCAACAUUGGGAGGACAAGCUUAGUUAGCCUCUCCUUUCUACCAGAAUAACCCUCCCCUCCUAUUCUUGCCCUGAGAGCCAUACUCCACCCGCCAUUUCACACAUACGUGCACCUAGAUGUACACCACCCACUGUCCAUGCCAAGUAAAAUUCACAGCCAAAACCCUGCUUUGCUGAAGCAGCCUCAUUUCCCCUACCUCAGCAUGUGCCUGCCACCUAGGCCACAGUUAUUCAGAGUCUACAUUAGGCACCCUCUCCUUACCUCAGCCCUAGCACCCCUGAGUCAUUGUCACACUACCACCUUCACUCUCUUCACGUGUUCCCAUUUACAUCUUUCCAUUAAGCA
rnacentral:lncRNA from 1 species